GGGUCACUGAAGGCUUUAGUCAAGUCCACAGUGCCUUUAAUAGUCAUGUGUCUUCACUUGCCCUUUAUCUUAGGAUCUGAGAAGCAGGAGCAAGGAACUCAGGGAGAGAUCCAGGAAGACAUCUGACUCUGUUAAGAGACGACAGUCACAGCGACACGAGGAGCGAAGACACUUGCAGCAAAGCAAAAUGACUUCACAACGAUUGCAUCAGAGCUGCAGGUGUGAGAGAGCCUAAGCCUGUCUCAGAGUGCAGGGGACAAGUGGAAAGGAAUGUGUAAGAAUGCCGGUGACUCAGUUAGAAGCAUGCUUCGAAGCUGUCCGUGUACUUGCCAUCCAGAAGCAGAGCCUGGGAGCUUCCGAAUUUCUCCAGAAUGCGGUUUACGUUCACCUUGACAGAUACCCAGCUUUCCCUGCACCAUUCGUUGAAUAGACUAUUCUUUCAAUGGAGUGUUGUUGGCACCCUUGUUGAAAACUGACUGUAAAUAUAAGGAGACUGAGGAUUAAGUCUUCUCUCUUUUGGGGGGAGCUCAUUAUCAAUGACUGGAAGUUGUAAGGAAAAAGAUAUUGAUUCAUCCUGAGAAAAUAUUUUUCUGAGAGUCAGAAAUGAAGAGGGUGACCACUGAAGAGGGUGAUCAUUGUUCGAGUGA